rnacentral:rRNA from 1 species
AUGGCCGAAUGCUUCAAUAGGGUGCUCAAAGGUGCACGUGGAUUACUCGUGACGGCAAUAGUUCAAUACACAUUUGACAAGAUGAAUGCGUACUUUGUAAAGUACUCAAUGGAAAUGGAUGCACAGAUAGCGGGUGAGAACCCGCGCAAGUACAAGUACAAGUUCCCACCCAAGGUUGAUGAAUGGUUGGUAUUUCAAUCACGGAAGGCGGACUCAGAAGAAGCUAUAUUAUAUGACAACGAAGAGUGGAAGUACGAAGUGAAAGAGCCAGGAGGAACCACAAACGAUGGCCGGCAACAUGGAGGUCGGGCUUUCAAGGUGUCGUUAACACAAUGUGAUUGCACUUGUGGGAGGCCAUUGUUCCUUCAUCUCCCAUACUCACACUUGUAUACCGCCGGUCGCGUUAGGAAUGUGGACAUCAAUCACCCACGCACCGUGAGGGAGUCGGAGUUCUCAAUCAUGACGGUCAAGAAAACAUGGGCUCCCCGCUUUCACCCGUACUUUGACCAAUCACAAUGGCCAGAGUAUCAUGGAGUUCAACUAUGGCCAGAUCCGGAGUUGAAGGUUGUUAAACGGGGUAGACGUAAGACAAAGCGUCUUAGAGGCGACAUGGACGGAUGGGGCCAUGGUGGCCACCGCGAAGCGGGCAACGACCAAUUCCAAGAGCCUCGUGAGAGCUCCCGUUGUGGGGAGUGCAAAGGUCAUGGCCACAACAAAAGAAAAUGUACGAAACCAAGGAAAAGGUCCAAAAAAUGA